rnacentral:rRNA from 1 species
UACGUAGGGGUGCGAGCGUUUAAUCGGAAUUACUGGGCGUAAAGCGUGCGCAGGCGGUUUUGUAAGCCAGAUGUGAAAGCCCCGGGUUUAACCUGGGAAUGGCAUUUGGGGACUGCAAGGCUAGAGUGCGGCAGAGGAGACUGGAAUUCCUGGUGUAGCAGUGAAAUGCGUAGAUAUCAGGAGGAAUACCGAUGGCGAAGGCAGGUCUCUGGGGCUGACACUGACGCUCAUGCACGAAAGCGUGGGGAGCAAACAGG